rnacentral:misc_RNA from 1 species
UACGGAGGGUGCAAGCGUUACUCGGAAUUACUGGGCGUAAAGCGCGCGUAGGCGGUUUGUUAAGUGUGAUGUGAAAGCCCAGGGCUUAACCUUGGAACUGCAUCACAUACUGGCAGGCUAGAGUACGGUAGAGGGGGGUAGAAUUCCACGUGUAGCGGUGAAAUGCGUAGAGAUGUGGAGGAAUACCAGUGGCGAAGGCGGCCCCCUGGAUCGAUACUGACGCUGAGGUGCGAAAGCGUGGGGAGCAAACAGG